GACGUAGGGCGCGAGCGUUUGUCCAGAUUUAUUGGGCGUAAAGAGCUCGUAGGCGGCUUGUCGCGUCGAAUGUGAAAUCUCGGGGCUCAACUCCGAGCUUGCAUUCGAUACGGGCAGGCUAGAGUUCGGUAGGGGAGACUGGAAUUCCUGGUGUAGCGGUGAAAUGCGCAGAUAUCAGGAGGAACACCGAUGGCGAAGGCAGGUCUCUGGGCCGAUACUGACGCUGAGGAGCGAAAGCGUGGGGGAGCGAACAGG
rnacentral:rRNA from 1 species